rnacentral:rRNA from 1 species
UCUGCUCAAUGUUAUUUUAAUAAAUAGCUGCAAUUUUGUACUAAGGUAGCGUAAUAAUUUGCCUUUUAAUUGAAGGAUUGUAUGAAUGAAAACUCAAAAAAUUACCUGUCUUUAUAUAAUAAUUAAAAAUUAAUCUAAAAGUGAAAAAGCUUUUAUUUAAUAAAUAGACAAGAAGACCCUGUUGAGCUUUUUCUAUUAAUUAAUAUAUAGAUUUUGUUGGGGCAACAUUUAUUAUUAUAAUCAAUAAUUUUCUUUAUAGAAUAAUUUCUUUUAAACAAUCUUAUUAAAUAAAAAUUUAAUAAGUUACCACAGGGAUAACAGGCUAAUAUUUUUUUAGAGUUCAAAUUAACAAAAAUGUUUGGCACCUCGAUGUUGGCUUAAAGUUUCUUUAAAAUGUAGCAAUUUUAAU